CCACUUAGACUACGAAAUGAAGCACAAAUUGGGAAUAUCUUCACGAAAUGAAGCACAAAUUAUCAACCCCAUAGUACUCACAUUGGAAUAUCUUCACAAAUUAGGAAUUGUUUACAUAAAUUUUCAUUUCGCUGCUUAGUCGUCAUCUGCCACCACCAUCAUCGUCGCAGCAGAACCCCACCACCAUCAUCGUCGCAGCAGAACCCCACCACCAUCGUCGCCGUCGUGCUCCGCCGCCACCCGCCGCCGCUGCAGCUCUGGUUUGUCGCCGUCGGUCGUCAUCACCAGCCACCUCAACCACCAAUUCAUACAGAGUUAAAAUCGAAAAAAGAUCCCAUCUACAAGGUGUAAUUAACUUGAUUGAAGAACCCUAAAAUCGAAAAAAGAUGAAUAAAAAAGGAAACUUGAUGAGAAAAUUGAAAUGGGUAUAAGAUUACUUCAACUUUUUGGCCUGUUAGAAGCGUCGGUGUGAGCCUCUUUCUUUUUUUGAUCGGUUUGAAGAAAUCGGAGCGGCAGUUUCUUCAAUGUCGUCAUCCGCCAUUGAUGAGUCAAUAUGAUGAUGGAUCUGGGUUAUUUGAAGAUGAUGAUGAUAAAGAAGGAGUGAUGAAUCUUAGGGGGUAA
rnacentral:lncRNA from 1 species